ACAGGGAGCCGUGCCGAGUUUAGAACAGCUUGCCACAAGGGCUCUGUUCCCCAAAUCCUGCAGGAAAACCUUGCCUUAAGAGAUCCCAAAUCCCUAAAUUCACUGGAGCUGCACAAGUGAAAGAAAAGGGAUCCAUUCCUAGUUUAGAACAGCUCUCCACAAGGGUUUUGUUCCCCUAGUCCUGCAGAGAAACGUUGCCUUAAGAGAUUCCAAAUCCCUAAAUUCGCUGGAGCUGCACAGGUGAAAGAAAAGAGAUCCAUUCCUUCAUUGAAGUCAUUUCUCCACAAGGAUUUUGUUCCCAAAGUCCUGCAGACAAACAUUGCCUUAAGAGAUCCCAAAUUCAUAAAUUCACUGGAGCUGCACAGGUGAAAGAAAAGGGAUCCAUUCCUUCAUUGAAGUCAUUUCUCCACAAGGAUUUUGUUCCCAAGUCCUGCAGGAAAACGUUGCCUUAAGAGAUCCCAAAUCCCUAAAUUGACUGAAGCUACACAGGUGAAAAAAUGGGAAUAAAUUCCUAAUUUAGAA